GUGGGUAGUUUGACUGGGGCGGUCUCCUCCUAAAGAGUAACGGAGGAGCACGAAGGUUGGCUAAUCCUGGUCGGACAUCAGGAGGUUAGUGCAAUGGCAUAAGCCAGCUUGACUGCGAGCGUGACGGCGCGAGCAGGUGCGAAAGCAGGUCAUAGUGAUCCGGUGGUUCUGAAUGGAAGGGCCAUCGCUCAACGGAUAAAAGGUACUCCGGGGAUAACAGGCUGAUACCGCCCAAGAGUUCAUAUCGACGGCGGUGUUUGGCACCUCGAUGUCGGCUCAUCACAUCCUGGGGCUGAAGUAGGUCCCAAGGGUAUGGCUGUUCGCCAUUUAAAGUGGUACGCGAGCUGGGUUUAGAACGUCGUGAGACAGUUCGGUCCCUAUCUGCCGUGGGCGCUGGAGAACUGAGGGGGGCUGCUCCUAGUACGAGAGGACCGGAGUGGACGCAUCACUGGUGUUCGGGUUGUCAUGCCAAUGGCACUGCCCGGUAGCUAAAUGCGGAAGAGA
rnacentral:rRNA from 7 species